GACCUCUUUGCUGAGUGAGGACGAAGAGCGAUAUGUCUCCUCACCUGAGGGUGGUGAUAGAGAGAUGAGACACAGACCCCACUCAGCACCACUGAGAUAUGUGUUUGGAAUCACUGAGGAUUCUGUCUUCAACAUGGUCCAGAGCGGCCAGUCGCAGAGUGACAUCGUACUGUCGUCCAGUUGGAGUAGACGGGAGAAAUACAGACCUGUCAAAAAACCAACGGACACCAGGUUUAUGAUGGGUAUUGUAGAGUUGGUUAUGAACCUUCUCAACUCCAGAUUGGCUGAGCUAAUGCGAAGUCUCAGUCAGGGAACUCUAGGUCCGCUGUCUGGUAGUAUCUCAGCAAGUCAGCAGUUUGCCCAAGAGAUGCUAAGCAUGGUGUCUGCUAAGAUGUAUUCCCAUGCCAUAGAGCAUAUUGCGCACGGCAACAAGUCUCCCCUUGAGUUAGAGAGGGAGCUUGAGGCCAUAUUGGGUCCUCUGGCUGGACAGGUUAUAGUCAUCAUCAUAGAUAGCAUCUUCAAGGCUAAAGCCAACGGAGGAAACAAGGGGCGAGCGACCAGCCCCUUUACCUAUUUUCUCACUGCCAUUUCGGCAGAAGUACAAAGCCUAGUUGUUCAGAGAUCGGCUAGUAGACCGUCCACCAGACUGUCCAACAACGACCCACUGCUGAACAUUUCCAAGUCAAAGGUCUUAAGAUCAGUUCUGCUCAAAAUGGCAGAACUCUUUGGUCAAGGUCCAAGUGAAACCUGUCUAGUUCAACUCUCCACCAUGUCCAUGACAGAUCUGUCAUCAUCUAUUUCUGACUCCACCUUGAAGCAGUUGUGUUGUAGCUCUGCUGUUGCUGCAGCAACUGUCUGUCAAGCAAUCAAAACGGAGCUCGAGAGCCAGAGACCUACCAACCUGUCAGCCAGAGACCUACUAUCGUCUCUGGUAGAGACCAUUGAGGACAUGGAUAUCUCUGACGUCCUCCAGGGCCCGUCGGCCAUUUUGGAGGAGGCUGCUAUGAUAAAGCACCCAGAGAUGUCCACCUCGAUAAUAUACAGGUCUUUGCUUCUCGACUCAUCUCUCGCCUCCUCUAACAUGGUCACUGAGAGCAUUAUCUUCAACAGUCCACGCCCAUCAGAGGAGAAUGUGAGUAUUCAGAAGGUGCUCCCUGCUGAUAAAGUUGACAUCCUCCAUGGUCAACCAGUGGAGGAGUAUAUCGUCAAAGCUGAGCAAUGCAUCACUCAGGUCAUUCAGGAUGCAGCUGUCACAUAUACUGGCGUGCUGGAUAAAACCGACACUUGUGGGAAACUGUCGGAAGUUCUGUCUGUCUGUGUUUCCGCGGAGAAUAUUGAGGAAGCAUCCUCUGAUCUAUUUGGUGGAAUUAUUUCCGACCUGCAUGAGGUAUCUGAGGUCAAUAAGGCCUCCAUGCGUACGAAAUCAGGUCGCAAAAUGUUCUGGGUGGAAGUGAGUUCAGGUUCCCAGAAGAUUUAUACCAAAACCCUGGACAAACUGAGGAAGCUUUUCACCUCUCACCUUCUCACUGACGGAAAAAAUACUCCUGUGCAAAUUGAGCUCUAUGACACUGGACUACUUGUAACUGAGACCACUGUGGAGGUAUCUCCUGUACAGAAGACAGACAGUAAUACCUCUUCUAUGUCCUCAGCCUCAGCCCACCAGCUCACCCUCGACACCUGCACUAAAGGGGUCAUCAAACAGGUGAUCUCGGUGCUGAGGUUGGAGAAUUCAAAGGAAGACCGCUUCGCUUCCGUUGGGGAGAACACGUCAAAUGCGUCCUUCGACUUCAACCAGAAGUUGGACUCGAUAAUUUCGAAAUUGGAGGACCUCAGCAUUUUGAGUGACGUGACGUCAGCCGACGUGAGGCCAUUCUCAGAGCUGCUAGCGAAGCCAACUGUUCUUUGCCACAGAGCAUGCCUAGCAUCACCUUCUCACACCAUGUGGUUUCUACAACUGAAGAUAUAGUGAAUAUGGUCAUGCAAGACCUUGAAAGUGUAUCCCAGUACACAGUGGAGGACGCAGACUCCUUCCCACUAGGAGAGAAAAAGCUGCAGUCCCAACUCAAUCCCAGAGUUGUCUUUGACAACUCAUUUUUUGCUGCUCAAAUCAUGUACCACAGAGUAAAGGAUAGACUGAACGUCUUUUUGUCUUUUCCACCCGUGUCAGUCACCACAGCCAAAGAUGUGCUGGACUUCACCCCUGUGGAGACACUCAGAUGUUCGAAGUCCCCUGACACUGCUCUUGUUAAGGACAGGAGCCGCCCGCCGUCUGUGAGAAGUGAGAAGCCAUUUUCAAAAGUCAGUUUGACUAAAAGGUUUAAAGCCCUUGUGUCUUCGAGUGGCUCCUCCACAGACCACCAUGUAAUUGACACAUGCAGUGAGGAUGUCAGUCUGCCCACCAGGAGUAUGUCAGUUGUGAGCGACACCAGUUUGAAGAGAGCCUCUCCUCUCCAUGGUUGUGGAUUGAGUGAAAGUUGUGAACCUCUUAUGGCUCUACAAGAUGGAACAGUGGCAUUCAGCCAAGAAGGCUUUAGCAAAACUGCAAAGAAGACACUCAGCUUGAUCCUAAAUGUGAUCAAGUGCAGAUUGGCCAACUCUGAGAGUUCAUCUGUUGGGAAGAAUGCAAGUGAGGAGUGUCUGAUAGCCACUAACAUGUUAGACUCUCUACUGGAGAGCCUUGACCUGUUGCCUGACAUGAGCACUGCCGAUGAGAUCACAAGGACAGAAUGCCAUACCUCUAACGCAAUGGACAAGACAGGUUCACAGUCAGCGCUUGUGAGCCAACAAGAAAUGAACAUAUCUGACACCGGUAUCAUAGUGAAAACUAUAAUGGACACAUUGAAGACAGACGACCCAGAGAUGACUUCAGCAGAAGAAAAUCUGGAUAGGCUUCUGUCAAUUGAAGCCCUUCAAGAUGCGUCUGGCAACCUGAUCGCAAAGGUCCAUGGUCUCAUUCAGGAGAUAACCAUAAGACGCCAGCUUCAAUCCAUGACUGGCCACAGAAGCCUCUCUCAACCAGCGCUGCCAAAUCCAGCACUGAGGAAGCUGUCAAAGGACGAUGCGUCAGAGCUCGUUUACAGCUUUGCCCACACUUCUGUUAGCAGACUCCUGGGGCAGUGUUUGGGUAGGCCUAUGCCACCCACUGCUGACAGGGUUUUGGAUCAGGUCAUCAAGUUGAUGACAGACAUGGUGAUGGACAGUCUGACUGAUCUGUCCAAGUCUGCAAUGGAGGGUGGUAAGUGAAAGUACCUCUUUUCAUCUGCAUAGGACUUCAUUGUAACAUGAUGCUCAAUACAUUGCGUUUUAUGAUGUGAACUUUGCUGGUUGUGUCCAAAAUGGCACCUUCUUCCAUGUUUAGUGCACUACUUUUGACCAGAGCCAGACCCUAUGGGCCCUGUUCAAAAGUUGUGCACUAUAAAGGGAAGAGAAUGCCUUUUGGAACGCAGUGACUGCUUUCCAUUGUUGCGUCCUCUUCUCCCAGUUAUUGUACCCAGGUCAGUCACACCAGCUUGCUCUUCUUAUUUAGACACCAGCAAUGCCGCAAGUGACAUCACUCAUGGCGUUGUGGCUGACCUUAAUGCUACUGAGGAAUUCCCCGCCAGGGGCCUUAGCCCGGCUGAUGUAAAGGCUGACGGCAUGGCCCGCCUUCCCUCUGCCAGAGGGGAAGAGACUAAGAAGAACAGGAAGUGGCGCUUCCUACCCAAAAUUGGCAAGAUUCCAAAGAUCAGGAUGAAGCUGUUCAAGACAAAAGGGGAACCGAAGAGCCACCCUGAACAGGAUGCGCUGCCUACCAAAUGUCUCAGAGAGACUCGUAUUUCACAGAAUGCUGAGUGUGAGGUUCCAGAGGUUCCAUCCACUUCCCCACCCAAGGAGGACCUGACAACCACACUGGCCCCUGCUCCCCAGGAGUCCCAGUCCCGUAAACGCCCUCUCAUAGUCAGGGUGUUACGAGCUAUCUCCAGAGCCGUCUCCAAACCAUUCAGAGGAGCUUUUGGGAAGAAGAAUUAGCCAAAUGCCUGAUUUUAUUACUAUUUUAAUCAGAGCCUUUAUUUAAUAAAACAUUACUGCAUUGA